rnacentral:rRNA from 1 species
UACGGAGGAUGCAAGCGUUAUCCGGAUUCAUUGGGUUUAAAGGGUGCGUAGGCGGCCUUUUAAGUCAGUGGUGAAAUCUUGCCGCUUAACGGUAAAAUUACCAUUGAUACUGAAAGGCUUGAGUACAUUUGAGGUAAGCGGAAUGUGUAGUGUAGCGGUGAAAUGCUUAGAUAUUACACAGGACACCAAUUGCGAAGGCAGCUUACUAAACUGUGACUGACGCUGAUGCACGAAAGCGUGGGGAGCAAACAGG